AUUGAACGCUGGCGGCAGGCCUAACACAUGCAAGUCGAACGAGGGGCGGACGGGUGAGUAAUGUCUGGGAAACUGCCUGAGGGAGGGGGAUAACUACUGGAAACGGUGGCUAAUACCGCAUACACUCGGAUGUACCCCGGUGGGAUUAGCUUGUGGGUGGGGUAACGGCUCACCAAGGCGACGAUCCCUAGCUGGUCUGAGAGGAGGAUCAGCCACACUGGAACUGAGACACGGUCCAGACUCCUACGGGAGGCAGCAGUGGGGAAUAUUGCACAAUGGGCGCAAGCCUGAUGCAGCCAUGCCGCGUGUAUGAAGAAGGCCUUCGGGUUGUAAAGUACUUUCAGUGGGGAGGCGUUACCCGCAGAAGAAGCACCGGCUAACUCCGUGCCAGCAGCCGCGGUAAUAC
rnacentral:rRNA from 1 species